rnacentral:piRNA from 1 species
UGUAUUGAGGCCUGAAACAACAAACAUUGUGU